CCUACGGGAGGCAGCAGUAAGGAAUCUUCCACAAUGGGCGAAAGCCUGAUGGAGCAACGCCGCGUGCAGGAUGAAGGCCCUCGGGUCGUAAACUGCUUUUAUGAGCGAAGAAUUAAGACGGUAACUCAUGAAUAAGGAACGGCUAACUACGUGCCAGCAGCCGCGGUCAUACGUAGGUUCCAAGCGUUAUCCGGAGUGACUGGGCGUAAAGAGUUGCGUAGGCGGCUGGUAAAGCGAGUAGUGAAAUAUGAUGGCUCAACCAUCAAGACAUUAUUCGAACUCACCAGCUCGAGAGUAGUAGAGGUACCUGGAAUUUCUAGUGUAGGGGUGAAAUCCGUAGAUAUUAGAAGGAACACCAAUGGCGUAGGCAGGGUACUAGGCUAUUUCUGACGCUGAGGCACGAAAGCGUGGGGAGCGAACCGGAUUAGAUACCCUGGUAG
rnacentral:rRNA from 1 species